UACUUAGGGGGCAAGCGUUACUCGGAAUCACUAGGCGUAAAGCGCAGGUAGGAGGUUUGGUAAGUCUGAUUGGAAAGCUCCCGGCUUAACUGGGAGAGGUCAACGGAAACUGCCAGGCUUGAGUGUGGUAGAGGUAGCUGGAAUUCCCGGUGUAGCGGUGAAAUGCGUAGAUAUCGGGAGGAAUACCUAUGGCGAAAGCAGGCUGCUGGACCAUCACUGACGCUGAUCUGCGAAAGCUAGGGGAGCAAACAGG
rnacentral:rRNA from 1 species